UCCCUGGUGGUCCAGUGGCUAAGACUCUGCACCUCUAAUGCAGGGGGCCCGGGUUCCACCCUUGGUCAAGGAA
rnacentral:tRNA from 1 species